rnacentral:rRNA from 1 species
UACGUAGGGACCAAGCGUUGUCCGGAGUUACUGGGCGUAAAGCGCGCGCAGGCGGCUCGUCAAGCCUGACGUGAAAGCCCCCGGCUCAACUGGGGAGGGUCAUUCGAUACUGAUCGACUUGAAGGCAGGAGAGAGAAGUGGAAUUCCAGGUGUAGCGGUGAAAUGCGUAGAUAUCUGGAGGAACACCGGUGGCGAAGGCGGCAUCCUGGACCGGUAUUGACGCUGAGGCGCGAAAGCCAGGGGAGCCAAAGCGGG